rnacentral:tRNA from 1 species
GGCAGCGUGGCAGAGUUGGCCGAUUGCGGCUCCCCGCUAAGGAGUUGAACGGGAAACUGUUCCGGUGGUUCGAAUCCACCCGCUGUCG